rnacentral:rRNA from 1 species
UACGUAGGGGGCAAGCGUUGUCCGGAUUUAUUGGGCGUAAAGAGCGUGUAGGCGGUUUGGUAGGUCCGUUGUGAAAACUCGAGGCUCAACCUCGAGACGCCGGCGGAAACCAUCAGGCUAGAGUCCGGAAGAGGAGAGUGGAAUUCCUGGUGUAGCGGUGAAAUGCGCAGAUAUCAGGAAGAACACCAAUGGCGAAGGCAGCUCUCUGGGACGGUACUGACGCUGAGACGCGAAAGCGUGGGGAGCGAACAGG